UGUGUCAUCAAAGAGACUGUGUCAUGUGCUGGACUUUUUAAAUUCAUAUCACAGUCCUGCUUUGUUGACAUGAA
rnacentral:pre_miRNA from 1 species